rnacentral:rRNA from 1 species
UUUGAUGAUUCGGUGAGGUCUUCGACCGAUGCUUCGUGUUGAUCCGUUGCGGAUUGGCUGUUGCGUUGGGAAGUUGGCCGAACCCAACCAUCUAGAGGAAGUAAAAGUCGUAACAAGGUUUCCGUAGGUGAACUGCGGAAGGAUCAUUACUG